GCACAGGGUAACUUAGUGGACAUGGCAUCUGUCCGGUAAACGGAACACUUGUGGGUUCGAUUCCCAUCCCUAGACA